ACACACUCGAAUGCAAACCAAUACAACCUGUUCUAGAGCGUCAGACUGAGGUGGUCUUGGCCCUGUUCCAAGCCAACUCUAGUAGAGAACUGACCCAGCUGCAGGUAAUGAAGCAAACGUCAUGUAUUUUUGGGUUUCAGGCAUUUUUUUUUUUCUUCCUUUAGAUAAACGCUGCUAAAUUGAGCUGUGAGGCGCAAACUGAUCCAAAGGACAGAGCUGUAGAAAUGUGAUUGUGUUCUGGAUAUUUAGAUCAAUGGACAAAAAGAGAAAACAAAUGCUGGAUGCAAUACACAACAUGUUUUACAAUACUGAUUUAUGUAGUUAUCUAAACAUUUAUUUAGCGACUCCAUGUUCUCCAUGCUUGGGUGGUUUUUGUGUGCAUUUAGCAAAAGUUUGCGCACCUUUUGAAAUGAAGUGUGUUUGACAAGUAUGUUUUUAGUUCUACAUGCACCUCAGCCAACGUUUUUUAGCAAACAAGCAAAAAGUAUCAAUUUCACUCUUAUUCAGACUCUGCAAACAGACUAAUAGGUGUGAAAACGAUGAAGAAACUUGGCCAAGGUCAGGAGUUUUUCUCUUGAAUAGCUCCACUAAUUAUAUGAGCAUAUUCUCUUCUCUAAUCUUACACAUUUUCCAGAAAAGUGCUGACCUGAUUUUUUUUUUUUUUUUUUUUGUCAGAAUCAAACCUGGAAUAGUGGCACUGCGUACAAGUUGAGGCAUAACUCUGUAUUACAGCCCUUUUCCAGAUUUUCAAGCAGAACAGGAAACAGUCAAGGAAAUGGCAAUCCAACUGUCUUGCAUGUUCAGUUGUCAGGAUUUGAAGCGCAAAGCUUGAGCAGCUGUUAAUCAUAAAGGUAUGAUAUGUCACCAAAGCAGAUAUGGCUGAUUUAACAGGAAAUGGGGCGAUCAAUAACUAACAGUAUCUCCUUUAUCUAUCAAAGAUAGUGAUGAUGGGGCGGGUAUUAUAAUUGAUUCCCAUUCCCAAAUUGAUUCUUUAACUGUCUGUGUAGUCACUACAAACGGAACAGCAGACAUCAGCAGUUCUGAGCAGAGAACAGUGAUUAAUGUCAAUAAAAAGGAAGCGUAUAUAUUUAUGCACGUCGGGGCGUUAACUCUGUGGGGUUUGCUUCCCCUUUUUUUUUUUGCUGAGCAUCAGCAAUGUUUAGUCCUAAUGUUUUUAAAUAUUAUAUGUGAAUCAUAGUAAAAUAAUUAAAUGCCAGACUAUGACCCAUCAUUCAGUCACCAGCUUCUGCAUUCUUUAAUAAAAUGCUCUGCAAACUACAAGAGGGCAAUUUUGGGAUUUAAAAAAUACACUGAGGUGUUUGCUGCUGCUGUGCAAUUAAUGGAAAUCACAGUUUAAAAUGCUUCCUAGAUGUAAUUUAGUAGCUUGUCCCUAGUUUCAAAAGCCUUUUAAAUUACCCGCUGCAUUUCAAUUGCGUGUUUGUUUUCUUUUUGGGACGUGUUUAUUUAGAGGCAGAUGAACGCCUGUUCAAAAUGAGAUCCGAAAACUAAUCAGCGUGUCCACCGAGAUCAGCCUUUAGUGUUAUUCUACAGAAUUUAUAUAGCUUUUAGGUUUGGGACACAAAAAGAUGUUUGGUUUCAUGUGAAGGCAAGCAAUCACUAAUCAAUCAGCAGAUGAGUAGAAAACAUUGUCUCCUUUCAUCUAAACAUGCAAGGGGAUUUUGACUUGGGUUUUUGUUCUUUAUUUGGACACUUUCAGCUCAGUCAUCUGAGACUCUUGCUUUUAAACUGCAUGUCAUGGAACAUCAGUGUCAUAAGAUGAACACAAAGUGCAGGCCAGGCAUGCAUAUCUAAUACACACGCCACUUUCCGCUUUCCUCUCUUGAGCAGCACCUCCCGAGAGCGACCAUUACAAGAUCCUAUUACUCCACAUGAGGUGCAAUUGGAACUAGGCUGCAGUUUGAUCGAGCUCUGAACACCUCUGCCUUUUUGACUCCGUUUUGGAUGAGAGAUCAUACAAAGGAGCAUCCUCAGGAAAAAUCAUGAAAACUUGUCCCACAAGGCCUGCAAGUUUUGUGCCGGAAUAGCUUGGUAUUUGGAGCUAUCCACAAUUCCCUCUAUAUCGACUAAAGCCCCAGUCCCAGCUGAAGAGAAGCAGCCCCAUUGCAUAAUGCUGCCACCACCAUGCUUCACCAUGGUGUGAUUUCUCCACUACAGUCAGCUGACCCCCGCUGACCAAUCGGCAGCAGGUUACACACGCCGCAUUCCAUCUGGCUGAGAGGGAAAGUUCCAGCUGAGAUUGAGAAUGCAGUGUGCGGAGCCUUUUCCAGCCUCAUGUCCUCCCGAUGAAGCUGUUUCGACAGGGGGUCAGGAUAUUGAUAAAGGACACUCGAGGCUUACAUUAGAUGACCGACUAAGAAGAAGAAGUCACUGCAGGAGAGGAGAAGCGAGACCUUCAUAUCUAUCU